rnacentral:rRNA from 1 species
CGUAGGGUGCGAGCGUUAAUCGGAAUUACUGGGCGUAAAGCGUGCGCAGGCGGUUUUGUAAGACAGGCGUGAAAUCCCCGGGCUCAACCUGGGAACUGCGUUUGUGACUGCAAGGCUAGAGUAUGGCAGAGGGGGGUGGAAUUCCACGUGUAGCAGUGAAAUGCGUAGAGAUGUGGAGGAACACCAAUGGCGAAGGCAGCCCCCUGGGUCGAUACUGACGCUCAUGCACGAAAGCGUGGGUAGCAAACAGGAUUAGAUACCCUGGUAGUCCACGCCCUAAACGAUGUCAACUAGGUGUUGGGAGGGUAAAACCUUUUUAGUACCGGAGCUAACGCGUGAAGUUGACCGCCUGGGGAGUACGGCCGCAAGGUUA